UACGUAGGGGGCAAGCGUUGUCCGGAAUCAUUGGGCGUAAAGAGCGUGUAGGCGGCCCGGUAAGUCCGCUGUGAAAGUCGAGGGCUCAACCCUCGAAUGCCGGCGGAUACUGUCGGGCUAGAGUCCGGAAGAGGCGAGUGGAAUUCCUGGUGUAGCGGUGAAAUGCGCAGAUAUCAGGAGGAACACCAAUUGCGAAGGCAGCUCGCUGGGACGUGACUGACGCUGAGACGCGAAAGCGUGGGGAGCAAACAGG
rnacentral:rRNA from 1 species